CUACGUCUUUAAAGGGUCUUUUGGAAGCAAACCAUGAUCCAAUCAUCACGUAUUCUAUAAUCCAUGUUAUUGUCUUCAAGCGUUCUCAUGGAUUUGAGGAGGAUGAUCCUGCGACUGAUCGGUGAUGGCUUUGACUGAUCGUUGUCACUCUCUUACUCAUGUUGCUCUUCUAGGGGUUGGUUUCUAAAUUGAAUCAUUCAAGGCUUUGUUUAUUAUGUUCAUGCGAUUUUUAACUCUUCUUGGCUCUGUAACAUCACUGUUGAUAUGGGAAUACGCUUUAGGGGAAUGUCGAUUCUUGAAUGCCAGAAAACUCUUCAGCUCAAUCUGGAGUAAAGCCCUUACCUGAGGGUCCUCUGUGGCUGCCGUUAACUGCAAAGGGGCCAAACAAAGAGCAAGUUGAGGCUCAUCGUGCGGGUGUGCCAGAGAGUUGUAAUGGUGGCGACGAGAGAAGAGAGCAGACAUAAACUUAAACAGGUAUGUAGAAUUAGGGUUCCUGGAGCUUCAAACUCAAACCCCUAUGGGUUCCUUAAAAUCAGAUAGAGUAUCUAUCUGUGGUCCAAUAUUACUCGGUCAGGGAGGAUUUUGAAGGCUAUUGCGAGAAUAUCCGGUGAUGUGUACAUCCCUCGGGGGUGUUUCUGUCCCGAUCAACUUUGAGCUGGCCUGUACGUACGCCUAGGCCAGUUGCAUCAAAGCUUGCUGCCGAUACUCCUCUACUUGCUGGGCAGUGUGUUUUCGAUCCCUUUUCACUUCUGUUCUUGGUUCCAUCCCUGGUGAUUCUGGCUGUGGGAAAGCUGUUAUCAGUCAGGCACAGCCAAAAGAUUAUAUAUGGAAAACGUUAAACAGUGGCAAGGUCGUUCCACGAUAUGGCCAUGUUUUUUUUUGGCGUUUCACCUCCUGGAGGAGACUUUUCAGAUCAUGUGACUUCUGCAACCCUUCGUAUUGUGAAGGUCUUCUGAGGUUUGGACAAAAAGCUUGCCCAGAGAAAACAUUCUCCCUCUGUCGAUUGGUUGAUUUCCUACAAAGUAUUCAACGGCAUUGAAAUAUUUCUAUAAGAAGUUCGAUCAAAAUUUCAUCAACAUCAUCAGGACAAAGGCCAGAGAGGUUUUGCAGAGGAAAAAGACGAUCUUGAUGAAAUUGUCCAGGUUCCGAACCCAACACUGCAGUCAAGUAAUGUCCAAGGAGCCUUCUUCAAUCGGGCUCUUACUUAAGCUCCUCUCUAAACCAGAGGAUCUCCGGUUCUUGGUGUGGGGUUUUACUGCAUCUUUGGCCAAAGCGUCAGGAUCACAGGUUAUGCUUUUUAAUGGUUGUUACUUUGACGUUUGAUUGAGCUUAAUUCAGGGAAAGGAGUGUCACAAACAUAGCCGCUAGCGAGCUCUACCAAUGCAUGAAUUAGACCAUGAGCAAACGCCCAAGAAGAAGAAGAACUCCUCAAGGAUAAAGUGCCGUAUUAGAACCAGUAGCUACACCACAGAGAAAGCCUCAGUAAAUAACAAGUUACUCCUACCGAAGCAAUCACAGAGCUGGAUAUGGUGCCAAGUGAGUAUCAGAGCGGACGAACGUUAUUUGUUUCCAUGACGUUUCUUCUUCUUCUUCAACUGGAUUUAUCUGAUUUGAUCGAGCAAGUAAAGAUCGUGGAGAUGCUUUCAAGAAUUAAAACUAAUUCUAUUGGAUUGAUGGUGUUUGACCAAGUACAGGUUUACAGACCACCCGUGGCCUAACGUUGAUGCUCUUAGUAGAGUGCUGCUGAACUAUUAUCGUCUAACCGAAAGAAAGAUUUAGAUACUACACUGUGCUUUUUGGCUGUCUCAAGGGAUCUCGUCAUCUGCUCACAUGUGAUAUGGGACCGGGCUCUUCGACUGCCACUAGAGCGGCCAAAGAGUGUAAACAUGUCCUCCCAAAGGUGAAACUUUGCAACUUCGUGGGGCUCUUAAGCUCCUCUACAUCUCUCAGAGUGAGUCUGUCCCAGCUCUUGAAAAAUAUUGUCUUUAGGAGUUCCAGCCCAACAAAUUUGAGAGAAAGAAACAGAGAGAGAUCGUUCUAGUGGCGACAAGAGAGCAACAUGAUGAUGGUUCGAACUUACUACUCAACCGAUCCAUGAAUUGUAUGGAGAAUUAGGGUUCCUGGAGCUUCGAACCUCAAUGCCAUGCGUUCCUUAUUCCAGAUAAAGUAUCUAUCUAUGGGUCCAAUAUUAGUCGGUUUCGAGCCAGCUAAGCAAUGACCACUAUCUUGGAGGAGAUUUCUGCCAUGAUCCAAGAAUAUGAUCGUUGUGGCUUGAAACGACAGUGUUUUGAAAAUUCUAUGAAUUGUGCUUUUGGUGUUAGUUGGCAGCCCACAUAUUCUUAUCCUUCCUUCCCCUUUGUUUGAAAUCAAAACGGAACAGAGGAGUCAGGACUGAGCUUUGGUAUUGAUUAGAGAAUCCUUGAAGCAUUAUAAUGGCGACGUGAGAGCAAACAAGUCAGAGAGUGGUGGGCUUUGAUUGAUUUAUUUAACUCUCUCUCUCUCUCGUUGAUUCAGAACACAAUCGUCGCCAACGUGCUUGCUUAAGGUCAAGGAGAUCAUCAUUGAAGGUAGAGAGCAUAAACAACUAAUUCCAUAAAUGACACCAUUUUAUGAGCCAACGUCCAAGAAGAAGAAGAAGAAGAAGAAGACCCCCAGGGACCUGAGAUGAAGUGGAAUUGAUAAUGAUGCUGGUUGUUGCUGUUCUCGUAUGUCUGGUUUAGCCUUAUUUUAUGAUUUCAAAUUAUAUUUCUAUGUGAAUUCAUUAUCUUCAUAAAGUUGGAACCAUUGUGAGAGUGCGUUGGUUCUUCUAUCUUAUUCUCUCAUGCAAAAGGCUGGACAAAUUCAGUUAACAGUAAUGUCGCUGAUCUUCCUAGUGAUGUUAGCCUGCAUGUUUUAACUUUUAAGCCUAAGAUCCUAUAUUUUAGUGGAGGAGGAUGCUUUGAUCGGCUGGUGAUGGUUUUGAUGGAUCGUUUUUGUCUUCUCUGCGCUACAUCUUCAGUUUCGGAUGAUGCUUUUAUCGAUGAGAGUGAUGGCUUUGAUGGACACGUUUCUUCUCUGUGCUACUUCUUCAAAGGGUAUUUUGGAAGCAAACCAUGAUCCAAACAUCACGUUUCUAAUCCAUGUUAUUGUCUUCAAGUGUUCUCAUUGAUUUGUGGACAAUGAUCCUGCGAUUGAUCGGUGAUGGCUUUGACUGAUCGUUGUCACUCUCUUACUCAUGUUGCUCUUCUAGAGUUUGGUUUCUAAAUUGAUCAUUCAAGGCUUUUUUAUUAUGUUCAUGCGAUUUUUAACUCUACUUGGCUCUGUUAAUUUUAGAUUGUGGAGGAGGAUGCUUUGAUCAGUUGGUGACGGUUUUGAUGGCUUGUAUUUGUCCUCUCUGCGGUACAUCUUCAGAUCAUGAGGAACUAGGAUUACUGUGUGGGAGGUUCAAAGAGAAAAAACAAAGAUUGUGAGAGCGUUUAAUUUCUGAGUUUAACUUUCAGUUUGUGGAUGAUACUUUUUUGUGGAUGAUACUUUUAUCGAUGAGAGUGAUGGCUUUGAUGGACACGCUUCUUGUCUGUGCUACAUCUUUAAACGGUUUUCUUCUUCCUCUUCACACGUCUUCAGGUUCGGCGCCAGCCAACACUAGCCAAGCAAUUUAUAGCCAAGACGAAGUGGAAUUGAUAAUGGUGCUGGUUGUUCGUGUUCUCGUAGUGUCACCAUGUUGAUAUAUGCUGACAUCCUUAUUCGUGGUUAUGCUGGUUGGAAUUCUAGGUUUGCCUUGAAGGUCUUAGACCAAGUCUUCCCAAAGGUACACUCUGGUAGUCUUCUCUUGAUCAAUUGAUGAUGGUUCUAUAUGAUGGAUCUUUCUGGUCUGCUCUUGGCUAAAGCUUCAGAUCAUCAUGAGGAACCAGGAUUACUGUGUGGGAGGUUCGAAGAGAAAGAAAAAUCAUUGUGGGAGACUGGGAGUGUGUUUGAUUUCUAAGUUUAACUUUCAGGGUCCAUUAGUUGAUGAGACGUUGUCGUUUUGGAGUAUCGUCUCCUUCCAUCCCCUUGUCUGAAAACAAAAUGGAACGGAGGACUUUAGGAGUGACGACUGAGGAGUGAGGAGUGAGAGACUACUCUGAGCAAAGUGCAAGGCGCUGUCAAAAGACUUGUCUCAUCAUGCGGCUGUGCCAGGAUGUACAAGGAUGGUAGCAUCAUUCCAUUAGAUGAUUCCUUAGGCUAUGCUGCAAUUUUUUCACACAUGAGCUACUCAGAUGAAAGAGCUCAUGAGGCUUUAUCUCACCGUCCACAGGUUACGAGCCAGUCAACACUGCAGCCAAGCAAUGGCUCCUAUCUUGAAGGAGAUUCUGCCACGAUCCAAGGAAGUAGCUGGAUUAACAGAUAUUGAGCCUGUUCGCACAAACCACUUUCUCUGGAGCUUGGACCAGGAGGCCAUUGAAGAACUAUUACCAGAAUAUCCGGUCCCGUGAUGUGUACAUCCCUCGGGGUGUUUCUGUCCCAGCUCUUGACAAAGAUUGUCCUUGGGGACUAGUUCCCAGCCCAAUCAGCUAUGUCGAGGGAGACACAAUAAUUGCUGGUGUAUGUUGUACGUUUAUUAAUUGGUCUCCUCCUUAAUCUGAUUUUACACAGUUACUGUGGUGUUGAGUGAGAGAGAGAUACAGAGAUCAAGAUGAUAAAUAGAUUGUUCUAAUGGCUACGAGAGAGCAAGAUGAUGAUGGUCUUGGACUCCACAGAUCCAUGAAUUGUAUGGAGAAUUAGGGUUCAUGGAGGUUCCAAACCUCAAUGCCUUGGGUUCCUUAUUCCAGAUAGAGUAUCUAUCUAUGGGUCCAAUAUUACUCGGCCAGGGUUCCGAGCCAGCCAAGCAAUUACCACUAUCUUGGAGGAGAUUUCUGCCACGAUCCAAGAAGAUGAUCAUUGUGGCUUGAAACGACAGUAUUUUGAAAAUUCUAGGAAUUGUGCUUUUGGUGUUAGUUUUGCGGCCCAUAUUCUUCUUCUUCCUUCCGCUUAGUCUGAAAUCAAAACGAAACAGAGAGGAGUCAGGACUGAGCUUUGGUAUUGAUUAGAGGUCUUUUGGAAGCAAACCAUGAUCCAAUCAUCACGUUUCUAAACCAUGUUAUUGUCUUCAAUCGUUCUCAUGGGUUCCUUGCUCUAAACUCAUCUCUAUUUGCUUCUUUAUUGUCACUUUGGUUCGGUGGUUUUGUCUUAUCUUCUGGUUACAUAAUGUCGUUUUUGUUUUGUUGGUUUAGAUUUGUGGAGGAUGAUCCUGCGAUUGAUCGGUGAUGGCUUUGACUUAUCGUUGUCACUCUCUUACUCUUGUUGCUCUUCUAGAAUUUGGUUUCUAAAUUGAUCAUUCAAGGCUUUUUUAUUAUGUUCAUGCGAUUUUUAACUCUACUUGGCUCUGUUAAUUUUAGAUUGUGGAGAAGGAUGCUUUGAUUGGUUGGUGACUGUUUUGAUGGCUUGUAUUUGUCCUCUCUGCGGUACAUCUUCAGAUCAUGAGGACCUAGGAUUACUGUGUGGGAGGUUCAAAGAGAAAAAAACAAACAUUGUGGGAGCGUUUGAUUUAUGAGUUUUAACUUUCAGAUCGUGAAGGCACUGGGAGGACUGAUGUGAUAAAAUCUUACCUUUGGUCUGUCAUCUUUUUAAGAUCGUGGAGGUUAAGGACCUUGUUGGAGGGAAGGAUGGUUUGAGAGUAUAUAACUUCGAGUUUCUGGUUACUUCACAUCUAUACUAAUGGCUAUUUUUGGUGAGGUUUUGGAUCGUUUGAUGUCUUUUAUGGGAUCAUGCUUUGAUGGAAACGCUUCUUCUCCGCUCUAACGUCUUCAGGGGUUUUGAUGGAAACGCUUCUUCUCCGUGCUAACGUCUUCUUAACGGGUUUUGGUCUUACUCAUAAGUCUUAACACUGGGCUCGGUUUAAGAAUUAUGGGAAUUGGGCUCUGGUGUUAGUUGGCCCACCAUAAUUCUUUAUUUCUUCUUUUAGGGUCCAUUAGUUGAUGAGACGCUGUCGUUUUGGAGCAUCGUCUCCUUCCAUCCCCCUUGCCUGAAAACAAAACGGAACGGAGGACUUGAGGAGUGAGGAUCUGAGCUUUAACAUAAUUUGUUCUCUAUUUUUUUCUCAUCCAGUCCAGUUUCAUGAUUCGAUUUCCUGCCUGGGGUUUUGGAGGAAGAACAUCUGAUGGUUCUGUGUCUCCUCAUGCUUUUUACAACAUUAUACGGCGACGAGUUUUUGUCUCAAGGACGUUAACCAAGCUUGUGGCCAAUUUGAUAACAACACAGUCUGGUGCAGGCCGUGUCCUUGCUUGUCAUCUUCAAUCCGUCCGAGACAGUCUAUGGGCUACUUUGAUCAUGUUUAUGGCCAGCCUGUGAUACUUCAUUACAAUUAAUAAGGCCAUACUCUCUGAUGAUUUGGUGGUAGUUUCACUUCAUGUUGGUAGUGUCGCGCGAGGGCUCGUCCCAUAAUCUUUCACAAUGCUUCAGAGCUGGCUUGUACGUAUGCCUUGGCCAGUUGCUUCAAAGCUUGGUGCUGAUACUCCUCUACUUACUGGGCAGCGUGUCCUUGAUGCCCUUUCCCCUUCAGUUUGUGGUGGAACCUGCGCCAUUCCUGGUGCUUCUGGCUGUGGGAAAAUUGUUAUCAGUUAUGCACUUUCCAAGGUAAUGAACUUAUCAGGUGAUGCUAAAGGGAAGGACCGUCUGACGACACUCAAGUCAGAAUAUUUCUUUCUAUCUGGGUAUAGAGCUUGGGAGAAUCAAGAUUAAACGUUUUGCUGAUGCUGGGAUCUAUGCUCAGCUGCAAGAGAGUGCUCAAGGACGUGAAUCUGUUGCAGCCAACCUUGUUGCAGAUUUGACAUUGCAGGUGAGUUAUAAGUCUGUAAUGGUGGACGACAUGAUUGACACAGAAGCAAUGCAGGACCUAAAGUCGCAGCUGCAAGAGUUAAUUAUGGAACAGCAGGACCAUAUGAUGAAACUCAAGUCAGAAUAUUUCUUGCUAUAUGGGUUUGGAGCUUGGGAAAAUCAAGAUUAAACGUUUUGGUGAUGCUGAGAUUUAAGCUCAGCUGCAAGAGAGUCUAAGCUUGUAGCAAAUAUAACACAGCUUGGUGCAGACCGUGUCCUUGCUUGUGAUCUUCACUCUGGACAGUCUAUGGGAUACUUUGACAUUCCAGUCGAUCAUGUUCAUGGCCAGGUAAAGGUUCCUAUCUUAAAUGAUUCCUCAAAAGUAUUUAGUAUCUAGCAACUCCGCUCCACAAGACAAGACAAAGUCUUUUUAACACCCAAGUUUCCCGAGCUCGACCUGUGAAAAGACAGAUAGUAGGAAGGCAGUGCAUCUAGGUUCACCGAGAUCUCGACAGCUCCAGCUUUGCCUGCACCACAAAGAAGUACACCACAUCUGCUAGAGUUUUCUGGAAUUUAAUCUUCAAGCAAUGGAAAGGGCUAACAAACAUCCAUAAACAUCUUCAAUAGCUUCACCGCCUCACUAUACUGAACUAAGGAGGCUUGUAGCCCUGUGAACAAAAAGGGAAACGAGUAUUGCUCUGACCUGCUUCAAGAUCCUUAAUUUGAGUUCACUCACGACUCCUGCCAGUGGCUUGAAUGAAUGCUUGACUACAAUGUACGUGGCGGGAAGCUCAAUCGUGGUCUCUCCAUGGUUGAUAGCUACAAGCUGUUCAAGCCAAGCCAAGACUUGACCGAUUAAGGGACUUUCAUUUUGUGUGCUCUCAGGUGGUGCAUUGAAUGGGUUCUAGGAGCCAACAUAUGAGGAUUGUCUCGACCUGAUUGCUCGUGUUCCUGUUGUAGCUGCGUAUGUUUAUCGGAGGAUGUACAAGAAUGGUGAUUCCAUCCCCUCAGAUAUAUCUUUGGAUUAUGGUUGUUCUAGGAUAUGGACACCAUCUUCUGCGCAAAACUGUUCCAAGGGCAAAAGAGAGUUUGCCUUGAAGCAUUUACCUGAUGACGCUCUUUUCCCAGCUGGUGUCAAAGCUUUACGAAGUUGGGCCACCCUGUUCUCACCGAGCUUGAAAAGGUGAAGAACCCGUGACCAAGUGUUGAUGCUCACAGUGGGGUCUUGCUGGACUACUAUGGUCGAACCGAAGUAAGGUACUACACCGUUCUCUUUCGUGUUUGAAGGAGUCGUGGCAUCUGCUCUCAGGUAUAUCUAUAUAUUUUACACAAUGAGUAAAUUAAGAAGAAAAAAAGAAAUCAUCAGAAGGCAUUGAACGACAAAUAAUUUAACUGUCCAACUAACAAAUAGUAUCAAACCGGUUAUUCGAUCAAAAGCUUUUACUUUUAACGAAUUAGCCAGAAAAUUGGAAUUCGAAUGAAGAGAAACCAAAGUGUAUCAUUUCAUCCCCAUUGUCUAAUUUGGCUCCUUCACUGUAUCCACCUGAAACACACAGAACCUCAGAUUUACGCUACAGUGUGCAUCAGAUUAGAUUUAUGAAUAGAGGAAACAAACCUCAUUGAGGUGUUGAGCAGACUUGGAGGUUAUAUAAGCGAUACGUGUGUAUCACUUCUAAUGUUUUUAUGAUUAGUGGAUUUAAAAAAAAAACCGUCUUUCCGUCCUAAAGAACAAAUAAAAAAGAACUAAUGCCCUUUCAUCAAAGUGUAUAGUUCCAACCAGAAAGGCUCUUCACUUGGUUACAAUUAGUUCCAACCAGAAAGAGCGAGACAGACAGCGAGUGAGCGAGAGGGUAUGAUUAUAAUGGUCUGUGUUCGUGUUCUAACCAGGACGAUGAUGUAUUUGACUCAGUAACUAACAACAUUAAACUGAUUAGAAGUUAACAACAUCAAACUGAUUCAGAACCAAAAAAGGUAAGCUUAUGGGUUUGAAGAGUGAAGAAAAUUCAGAACCAAAAAAGAUUAUGGCCUAUGAAGAGAGCCAAAUGGAGUCACGGCCUGUGAAGAGAGGUAGUCAAGAAGCAGGACGAUGAAUCAUAUUUUUUCAAGGACGUACGAAAGCAUGAAGGUUUAGCACUGAAAGGAGUAUGUUUUCAGGACGGUUCUGAGCCAGCCAAGCAAUGACCCCUAUCUUGAAGGAGAUUUCUCCCACGAUCCAAGAUAAUCGUUCUGGCUUGAAACGACAGUGUUCUGAAAAUUCUAGGAAUUGUGCUUUCGGUGUUAGUUGGCAGCCCAUAUUCUUCUCCUUCCUUCCCCUUUGUCUGAAAUCAAAACGGAACAAAGGAGUCAGGACUGAGCUUUGGUAUUGAUUAGAAAACUUUGAAGCAUUAUAAUGGCGACGAGAGAGCAAACAAGUCAGAGAAAGGUAUGUAUCUUUUUUUUUUGUGUAUUGGUUCUUCUAUCUUAUCCUCUCAUGCAAAAGGCUGGACAAAUUCAGGUAUUCAUUCCGUUUUCCCUCCCAAAUCUGUUGCAAUCAGUCCUGAGAUUUGGACUGUGCCAUUCGGGAGUCUUACAACAUUAUUUUGCUAUGUUAUUUAAAUUUCCAGUUAGCAGUAAUGUCGCUGAUCUUCCUAGUGAUGUUGGCCUGCAUGUUUUAACUUUUAAGCCUAAGACCCUAUAUUUUGGUGGAGGAGGAUGCUUUGAUCGGCUGGUGAUGGUUUUGAUGGAUCGUUUUUGUCUUCUCUGCGCUACAUCUUCAGGUUUCGGAUGAUGCUUUUAUCGAUGAGAGUGAUGGCUUUGAUGGACACGUUUCUUCUCUGUGCUACUUCUUCAAAUGGUUUUGUUCUUCCUCUUAACACGUCUUUAACUUCUUUUUUUUGUUUUGUUUGUUCCUUACGUUUCUUUUUUGGAAGCAAACCAUGAUCCAAUCAUCACGUUUCUAAUCAAUGUUAUUGUCUUCAAGCGUUCUCAUUGGUUCCUUGCUCUAAACUCAUCUCUAUUUGCUUCUUUAUUGUCACUUUGGUUCGGUGGUUUGUCUUAUUUCUAGUUACAUAAUGUCGUUUUUGUUUUGUUGGUUUAGAUUUGUGGACGAUGAUCCUGCGAUUGAUCGGUGAUGGCUUUGACUGAUCGUUGUCACUCUCUUACUCAUGUUGCUCUUCUAGAGUUUGGUUUCUAAAUUGAUCAUUCAAGGCUUUUUUAUUAUGUUCAUGCGAUUUUUAAUUCUGUUAAUUUUCAGUUAACAGUAAUGUCGCUGAUCUUCCUAGUGAUGUUGGCCUGCAUGUUUUAACUUUUAAGCCUAAGACCCUAUAUUUUAGUGGAGGAGGAUGCUUUGAUCGGCUGGUGAUGGUUUUGAUGGAUCGUUUUUGUCUUCUCUGCGCUACAUCUUCAGGUUUCGGAUGAUGCUUUUAUCGAUGAGAGUGAUGGCUUUGAUGGACACGUUUCUUCUCUGUGCUACUUCUUCAAAUGGUUUUGUUCUUCCUCUUAACACGUCUUUAACUUCUUUUUUUUGUUUUGUUUGUUCCUUACGUUUCUUUUUUGGAAGCAAACCAUGAUCCAAUCAUCACGUUUCUAAUCAAUGUUAUUGUCUUCAAGCGUUCUCAUUGGUUCCUUGCUCUAAACUCAUCUCUAUUUGCUUCU